CUUCUCUAAUAAAUCACUACAAACUUAGUGCAUUAAAACAAGACCAAUUUAUGAUCUUGCAGUUCUGAAGGUCAGAGGUCCAAAAUCAAAAGAUUUCAGCACCAAA